UACUGCUACAGGUGAAAAGAGGUCAGAGGUCCAACAAGGGCUGCUGUCUUGCCUCAAGCAGUGUCUAGCCAGUGUUAUAUCUUAUCUGGGGAAUCACCAUAAGGUUCAGUGCCAGCAAUAGGAUAUGGCCCAUGGCCCAGAUAAGAGCUUUCUGCCUAAAACCAGGUCCACCACACCAGAGUCAAGUUGUCUGAGCUUAGUGCACCUAUGCACAGAGCCCAGAAGAACUUCAUCCACAUACCCUACCCCUCCCCAGUGCCUGUCUGGACCUAUGCAGGGAGAACACAUAUAGGAUCUUUGGUCCUUCUGCCAGACAUCUAAAGUUGACCCCAUCUCAUCCUUAGUUACCUGAUCAUAUCUAAUUGCUGAAAGCACACCCUCCCUCAGGCUUUUCUCUCCCAAGAGAAAACUUCUUGCUCAACAACUGAUGAGGGACCAGUUUAGAGACCACCUAUUGAUCUCUUGCAUAGACAAAGGGCACAGUACUUAACCUCAGGGCUCCAAGACAGAGGUAAGAGAAGAGACCACUUGAGCCAGGAUCUUCCCAGGACAGGAAAACCAAGCCUUCCAGUGGGAAGCAGGACCCCAUGUUGCUACAGAGUGGGGACCACUGCACCUCUAGCUUCUGCCCCUUCCUAGCUAGAGAGUUAUGCAUCCCUCAUGAUCCCACAGGCGAACCUUGCUGCCUGGGACUCCUACAGCAAGCAAGGGAAGCCGUCCUGUGGGUGCCGCGCCCAGUGAUAUCACUGCUCCUUAACUAGCUCAACGAAAAAAACUCCAGGAGCCAAUUUCUCUUACACUUCACUUUUGAAAAAUCGCAAUUCUGACCUUUUCCAUAUCUAUGUUUUUCCAUAUCCAGGGACCAACCUCAGGGAGGCAAGGUGACCCGACCACGGUAGAGCUGACUAAGAAUCAAAGCUCCUAACAUGGCCUGGUUUCCAGCUUCUUCUUCAGGUGGGUCUGUUACUGUGGGAACCCAAGACUCUUGGAAAUGAAGUCAAGCCUGUUUAUUAUUUGUGGCAAUGUUCUCUACACAUCUUUGUGGGCACAGAUGUGGUUAGACCUCAGUGAUUCUACAGACCCACCCCAUGAGGGGUAAGUAGCCUAAGAGGAAAGGGAGACACACCCAGACUACCAACAGGGCCUGACAGUUCAACCAUAAGGGAAACUACAGGGCUGGGUUGGAGUUUUGGAUAUCUCAGGGUCUGUACCUAAGAAUUUAAGCUGGGGCAUACAUGAUACUGUCACCCCUCUGCCCUUGUGAAUGAGAUAAGGUCAGGAAUGGAGCAAUGGCUUAGGAAUCUCACCAGCAAACCACUGCCUGGGGCAUCAGCACAGUGUUUAGGGCUAGAGCAGAAACCAGACUGCAAUAGGCAGCAGGCAGAGCUCUUGGUAAGGCUGACUUCCACAUACACAGAUCUUAAAUACUCUUACAUUGCAAAUUAGGUAACCGUGAAAGUUCAACGAAAUGUGUUCUUAAUCAAAUCAAAGGCAAAAUCAAAACCUGUUGCCAGUACCAACCAUUGUCUUGUGAGUCCAACUGUCCAUAGUGAAUGUGGAGGAACAGAGUAUAAUCAAAAAAAUCAGGACCAAGUAGGGCCAAUUUUAUGUUGCACUGGCAGAAAUACAUUGGAAAUGAGUAUACACUCCAUCAGGCAAGACAGACUCAACUUAUUCCUAACUUCACCCCAUGGUGUUCUGGAGGGUUUGGAGUUACACCCCGUGCAAACCUGGGAGCUGCAGGUCAGUGUCCAGGGACAUGGGCUCCUGGAGACAGGCCAGUAAGCUCCUCUGCUCAGUCUAGCAUUCAUUCUGACAACACUGAGUUGGCAGACAGAUGUUUACAAAGGCAAGCCUGGACAUGCUGCAGACCAGAAGAAACUGUGGCUGAAGAACCAAGCACCCAGGUAAGGGGGUAGGGGCUGCUUGGUUAGCCAAUCCUGACUGGGCCAUGUACCAGUUUUAUCAUCUACAUAAGGCCAAUAGCCAAGAGAGCUACCUCUAAUUGUCAUUCCUCCAAACACCUCCUCAGCCCCCAAGCCCUCCUAUGACAGGUGUUUAAAACUGGAUUUGUAAAGGGCACAUGUAUUUAUAUAGUUUAGCUAGAGUAGAUCACCCUGGAGCAGGGGCGUGUCAGAUCAAGGACAGACAAAUGGUCUACUCCAGGACUGAAGCAGGGAGCCACUGUGAUAAGGCAGCUACAACAGAACUUGUUAGCCACUUGGCUACUUAUUUUCCAAAAAGCAAGGCCAGUUAUCCAACAGAUAAAGGGUAUCCAGACCCUGGUUCAGGCAAGAGUAGCUUUUGGCCUGAAGAUUAGCCUGUCUUCAAGAAUACUCCUCAGAGAGUAAAGCUUGAGGGUUCUUGGUGAAGAGCUGGGUACACGUUGGGAGUAAGGAUAUUUUCAGUUAUGAACAAUGCUGCCCCCUAGUGCUGGACACAAAGGCAGCUCCUAAAUACAUACAGUUCCCACCCCCAGGCUGCUAUACCUCUACAUGGUAUCUUCCAUUUACAUUACUCUGCACAAAAACCUUGUCUUUGAGGCAAAAAGGACCCCCCCAAACACACACACACACACACACACACACACACACACACUCACUAAAUUUUAAGGCGAACAAGUCAAACACACACAGGAUUUCAAUGUCAAACAGUUAAAGUCUGGGUGACCUUACUGUGGUCCAGGCAGCUUGCAUUUUUAUUCCUUCUGUUGAGUACAUACAUGUACAUAUGUGCUUGUGCAUGUGGAGCUGAGACUGACACCAGAUAAUAUCCUCAAUUACUCUCCACCUUCUUUUUUAUUUAUUUAUUUUAUUUUAUUUAUUUUUUUUCCGGAGCUGGGGACCAAACCCAGGGCCUUGUGCUUGCUAGGCUCUACCACUGAGCUAAAUCCCCAACCCCACCUUCUUUUUUUUUUUUUUUUUUUUUUGGUUCUUUUUUUCGGAGCUGGGGACCGAA